rnacentral:rRNA from 1 species
AUUGAACGCUGGCGGCAUGCCUUACACAUGCAAGUCGAACGGCAGCACGGGUGCUUGCACCUGGUGGCGAGUGGCGAACGGGUGAGUAAUACAUCGGAACAUGUCCUGUAGCGGGGGAUAGCCCGGCGAAAGCCGGAUUAAUACCGCAUACGAUCUACGAAGGAAAGCGGGGGACCUUCGGGCCUCGCGCUAAAGGGUUGGCGGAUGGCUGAUUAGCUAGUUGGUGGGGUAAAGGCCUACCAAGGCGACGAUCAGUAGCUGGUCUGAGAGGACGACCAGCCACACUGGGACUGAGACACGGCCCAGACUCCUACGGGAGGCAGCAGUGGGGAAUUUUGGACAAUGGGCGAAAGCCUGAUCCAGCAAUGCCGCGUGUGUGAAGAAGGCCUUCGGGUUGUAAAGCACUUUUGUCCGGAAAGAAAUCCUUGGCCCUAAUACGGUCGGGGGAUGACGGUACCGGAAGAAUAAGCACCGGCUAACUACGUG